CUCUGUUUGUUCCUGAGAAAGUAAGAAACCCUCAGCUCAGACUAGUCUGUGGCACCAGCAGAACUGUCUUGAGGAGAAGAUAGAAACUGUUGCAUAAAGAAUACUCUGAAGAAGGUCCUCACAUGAGUGGCAGUCAGACAAGCUCACGAUCCUUCAUCACAAAAGUCCAAACUGCCAGCUUCAGCAAGAAAGGAACAUCCCUGGAUUGCAGGAGAAGGAAAAAAGUUGAAGAUGCCAAGCCAAGCCAGAGGGAAGGAAAGGCGAGAUACUCCGUGAUUUAAUCAUGUUACAGCCUCACAAAGAUGCAAAAGAUUCCUGUUUACUUGCCGUAGUAUGACUCAUUCUGGAAAGAGGAGUUUCAAUCAGUUGGUUUUACAUUUUCUUCUUCUGUGAUAUGUGUGUGUCUGUAUGUGUUUGUACAGAUAGAUAUAUAAAGGAUCA
rnacentral:lncRNA from 1 species